GCCCACCAGGCUGAGGCGUCAGGCUUUCUCAGGAGGAAUUCUCGUCUGAAGUACCCCGCUCUGGACAAGUGGAAUUAGACUGAACACAAAGGAAAAGAAAAAGGUUGGAGCCUUCAAGUUCAGGUCAGCAGAAGCUUGUGAGUUACAGUGAGAAAUUUCAAAUCUGACACUUGCCAGUUCCCAUUGAGCUCCGGGUGAGAAAUGUCCCUGGCCUCGUCCAUUUUUAAUGUCACAGUCAUCUUAGUGGAAGAGAUCACCUCCAGCAGAACAUAUCACAACAGAUUGAAUGCAGAAGUGGAUAUGAAAGUGCAGCUGUCGAUUAAACCAGACACUAAAAGAUUUUUAAUAAUGUAAAACAAUGCCAUAUUUCUCAC
ensembl:lncRNA